AGUAGUGAGCAUUACCUCCUUGUGGCUGCUUAGAAACCACUCAAGGUGAAAUUCAGCUCAUGCUUUGUGACCAUCAUCCAGAAAUGAAGACAGAAGAGCACUUUGAGAAUCUGAGGGGAUUUAAGGGUUUGAAAAGUGUGUCAGUAGGUGUUAGUCUGCAAAAACAUAUGUGUGUGGGAAAAGGGCAGUUACACUAACCCAGCUAUUAUUAGUGUACUUUAAAAGGCCAUAGAUCUCUUUAACAUCUAAAUAAACUGAGAAAUCUGCCUAGAAGUAAAAAAGGAA